GUGUCAGCAGCCGCGGUAAUACAGAGGGUGCAAGCGUUGUUCGGAAUUACUGGGCGUAAAGCGCGUGUAGGCGGCGUUCUAAGUCCUGUGUGAAAGCCCCGGGCUCAACCCGGGAAGUGCGCAGGAUACUGGAGUGCUCGAGUGGUGGAGAGGAUGGCGGAAUACCCGGUGUAGAGGUGAAAUUCGUAGAUAUCGGGUGGAACACCUGUGGCGAAGGCGGCCAUCUGGACAUUCACUGACGCUGAGACGCGAAAGCGUGGGUAGCAAACAGGAUUAGAUACCCCCGUAGUCC
rnacentral:rRNA from 1 species